GUUAUUGUUAUUUUUUUAUAUUUCCAGAACAAGUAAAAGUAAUAGGUUACUUCUAGUUCUACUGAUGACCCAGUAGAUUCCAAUAUAUAUCCCAGUAUAUUCGAUGAUGGCUAAUAGCUGCAUUAUCCAUCACAAGGAAAUACAAGUUCAUAAUUCAGACUUUUAUGCUCAGCAUGGAGCCCACUGUGGGGCUAGAACUCACGACCCUGAAAUCAAAACCUGACCUGAGAUCAAGAUCCUGACACUCAACCAACCAACUGAGCUACUCAGGCACCCCAUGUGCUUAUGCUCUUGAAAAGACAGUAUAACAUCUUUUAUCUUCAAUUUCCUUGUGUAUAAAAAAAAGAGGAUAAAAAUUUCAUAGAGCUCAA